CUUGACGGACCCCAGCCACAACGGCUGGUCCGCCGGCCGGUCCUGACCGUACGUCGCCAGCAGCGCCCGGGCCUC
rnacentral:antisense_RNA from 3 species